UUCUCUGGGAUUUCCCUUGGAUUUCUUUGGCUUUUCCCCCCUGGAUUUGGGGUUUUUGUCCGAGUUUUUCCCAAAUUUGUUUCUUUUUCCCAUUUUUUUUGGCAGGAAUUUACUCCUCCACCGGGAAAAUGUCCCCGGUGGGCGACUUCAGACCAGCGUCCCCGGACAGUUUUGAGGACGAUUACGACGACGUGUCCCUGGCGGAGUCGGAGCGGGACCCUCGGAGCAAACCCGGAACGGUUUACACCCUGGCGGGGUCUCCAAACCCUUCCCGGGCCGGACCUUCCCCCUCCGCCGGAGCCGUCGCCGCUUUUCCCGGGAAAGCUGAGCUGGAGCUGGAGCCC